ACGAACGCUGGCGGCAUGCCUCACCCAUGCCAGUCGAACGAGACCUUCGGGUCUAGUGGCGCACGGGUGCGUAACGCGUGGGAACCUGCCCUUAGGUUCGGAAUAACUCCCCGAAAGGGGUGCUAAUACCGGAUAAUGUCUUCGGACCAAAGAUUUAUCGCCUUUGGAUGGGCCCGCGUUGGAUUAGCUAGUUGGUAGGGUAAAAGCCUACCAAGGCGACGAUCCAUAGCUGGUCUGAGAGGAUGAUCAGCCACACUGGGACUGAGACACGGCCCAGACUCCUACGGGAGGCAGCAGUGGGGAAUAUUGGACAAUGGGCGAAAGCCUGAUCCAGCAAUGCCGCGUGAGUGAUGAAGGCCUUAGGGUUGUAAAGCUCUUUUACCCGGGAUGAUAAUGACAGUACCGGGAGAAUAAGCGCCGGCUAACUCCGUG
rnacentral:rRNA from 1 species